rnacentral:rRNA from 1 species
UAAUACGUAGGGAGCGAGCGUUGUCCGAAGUUACUGGGCGUAAAGCGCGCGUAGGCGGGCCGUUAAGUGAGAGGUGAAAUUCCAGGGCUCAACCCCGGAACUGCCUCUCAUACUGUCGGUCUUGAGUGAGGUAGAGAGAAGUGGAAUGGCUGGUGUAGCGGUGAAAUGCGUAGAUAUCAGUCGGAACACCGGUGGCGAAGGCGGCUUCUUGGGCCUUUACUGACGCUGAGGCGCGAAAGCCAGGGGAGCGAACGGGAUUAGAUACCCCGGUAGUCCUGGCCGUAAACGAUGGAUACUAGGUGUAGGGGGUAUCGACCCCUCCUGUGCCGCAGCUAACGCAUUAAGUAUCCCGCCUGGGGAGUACGGCCGCAAGGUUG